UACAGAGGUCUCAAGCGUUGUUCGGAUUCAUUGGGCGUAAAGGGUGCGUAGGCGGCGCUGUAAGUCGGGAGUGAAAUCCCGGGGCUCAACCCCGGAACUGCACUCGAUACUGCGGCGCUUGAGAGCUGGAGAGGAGAUUGGAAUUCCUGGUGUAGCAGUGAAAUGCGUAGAUAUCAGGAGGAACGCCAAUGGCGAAGGCAGAUCUCUGGACAGCUUCUGACGCUGAGGCACGAAGGCCAGGGGAGCAAACGGG
rnacentral:rRNA from 1 species